AAGUAAAAAGAAAGAAAAGAAAAGAAAAGAAAAGUAAUAAAAAAGUAAUGAAGGCCGCCAAGUAACUUACACUUGUGUUUGGGUAGCUUACAUUUGUUGUGCUUGUUGGGGUCUUAGCUUUUUCAUGUUUUGUUGGAGAUAAUAGUAAUGA
rnacentral:ribozyme from 1 species